rnacentral:lncRNA from 13 species
AUCGGGGAAAUGCUGCGGGGUUCGGGAGUCCAAAGAGGCGCAGGAGAGACUUAAUGAGUUACAAGCACCGGGUUAUCCGCAGGAAAAGCCCAGGGUGGCCCAGACCCCUGAAACCCCGCCUCCUUCAGCGCCAAGGGAUCAAAUUCCUCCUCCGCUGGCUCGGGGAAUCCUGUCCUGCUUCCCUGGAAAUCCCCUCGGCCUUUUCCAUGGGCUGCAGUGAGGCUGGAGCCCGGCUCGUCCCAUUAAUGAGCGAGGAAAAAAAUCACCGGGAUGGAUGCGGGAGGUUCCGGGACACGAGCAGGGCAAGGUUUGCUCUCCCAGCUCCUCCUUUUUAUUGGUGGAGGAGCUUUGGGAGAGCUGAGGACUGGGAUGCGAUGAAAAACUGGAACACGAUGCUACAGCUCAGCCGGGGAGAGGAACCUUCCCGGAAAAGCAGCAGAAUUCCCAGGAGAAGUCAACUCUUCCCGCCUCCCAGGCCCGAUUCCCGAUUGGCCUUUUCCUCCACGGAAGAUCUUCCCGCGUUGUUCCAGCACCUCCAGGGCUUCGAGGAGCUCUUCAGCAAACACAUCC